AGCGAACGCUGGCGGCAGGCCUAACACAUGCAAGUCGAACGGAUCACGCGGGAUUAGUGGCGGACGGGUGAGUAACACGUGGGAACGUGCCCUUUGGUUCGGAACAACUCAGGGAAACUUGAGCUAAUACCGGAUGUGCCCUUCGGGGGAAAGAUUUAUCGCCAUUGGAGCGGCCCGCGUCGGAUUAGCUAGUUGGGGGGGUAAAGGCCCACCAAGGCGACGAUCAGUAGCUGGUCUGAGAGGAUGAUCAGCCACAUUGGGACUGAGACACGGCCCAAACUCCUACGGGAGGCAGCAGUGGGGAAUCUUGCGCAAUGGGCGAAAGCCUGACGCAGCCAUGCCGCGUGAAUGAUGAAGGUCUUAGGAUUGUAAAAUUCUUUCACCGGGGACGAUAAUGACGGUACCCGGAGAAGAAGCCCCGGCUAACUUCGUGCCAGCAGCCGCCGUAACAC
rnacentral:rRNA from 1 species